rnacentral:lncRNA from 1 species
AACUUUAAUUUUUCAAAGCCCAUUUUUAAUGAUGGUUCUUAAAUGCUUUAACCUCCCUUCUAGCUCACCACUUACCAGAGGUAGUAGAAAAGAAAGGAUACAGGGGAAGUGGACCUGUUUAGAAAUGGUUCUUUGGAACAAAUCCCAUCUGCAUUGUCAAGAUAUUGACAGUUCAGUUUACAGGAGUCAGCAGCAGCAACUCAAUCCACUCGCAGACACUUCAUGGACACACCAGCAGUCCUGUUUGGUAGAGUCAGUAUAACAAACACGAAUCAGCAGCAGUGGCACUACCUAGCAGAGACAGCCAGGCCUCAGCUGAAUGGGCACGAGUCAGCAGGAGGGACCAGGACCAACAGAAACUCCCCCAAAAGUUCUGGAGGAGAAGGAAGCUUCUCUCACUAAUUUAGGCAGGAAGGAGGCCUGGAGGCUGAGAAGCUGGGAAGUCAUCCAGGAACUGGAAUUCCUAUCGGUUACCACCCCACACCAGCCAAACAAGUAGGUGAGUAAGCUAUAGAGGCGGGCUGCAACAGGGCCUAGGGUACUCACAACCCUUCAAGCAAAUCAAGAGUAAAGCAGCUAGUCUACAAAUAUCGCACAAGAUAUCGCCUAUGGAUCUUGCUAACCAAGAACUAUACCAGGCAGAGAAUUCUGAAUAGCACCGUUCUAAUCUAAAUAGUGGAAAGAGUAAGUUCACUCAUCUUCCCGUCCCACUCCCACCCACCUCACAGCCAAGCUCAGGAAAAUGUGAUAUAAUGGCAGUACCACAAAUGUCUUAAUCAGUAUGAUGUACUACCAGAUAGAUGAUUCUACGGAAAAGACAACUACUCUUGUAGAUUUUCCUCUUCUAUAACAGCAUUUUUAUAACAGUACUUUAAAAACUAAUCACUUUAGGUUAGC